AGACUUAGUCCUAACCUUACAGUUAAUUCUUGCCAGACAUAUACAUGCAAGUAUCCGCACGCCAGUGUAAAUGCCCACACUCCCUACUCAUACAAACAAGGGAAAAGGAGCAGGUAUCAGGCACACUUAAAUGUAGCCCAAGACGCCUUGCAAGGCCACACCCCCACGGGUAUUCAGCAGUAAUUAACAUUAAGCAAUAAGUGUAAACUUGACUUAGCCAUGGCAACCCUACAGGGCUGGUAAAUCUUGUGCCAGCCACCGCGGUCAUACAAGAAGCCCAAAUUAACUGUCACCGGCGUAAAGAGUGGUCUCGCAUUAUUACCCAACUAAGGCCGAAGUACAACUGAGCUGUCAUAAGCCCACGAUGUACCUAAGAACAUCCUCAAAACGACCUUAGCACAAAUGAUUAACCAAACACCACGAAAGCUAAGACACAAACUGGGAUUAGAUACCCCACUAUGCUUAGCCCUAAAUCCAGAUACUCACCCCUACUAGAGUAUCCGCCCGAGAACUACGAGCACAAACGCUUAAAACUCUAAGGACUUGGCGGUGCCCCAAACCCACCUAGAGGAGCCUGUUCUAUAAUCGAUAACCCACGAUACACCCAACCCCUUCUAGCCCAAAGCAGCCUACAUACCGCCGUCCCCAGCUCACCUUCCCUGAGAGCCCAAACAGUGAGCACAACAACACCUCGCUAAUAAGACAGGUCAAGGUAUAGCCCAUGAAGGGGAAGAAAUGGGCUACAUUUUCUAAACAUAGAAGACUUACGAAAGGGAGUUUGAAAAAACUCCUAGAAGGAGGAUUUAGCAGUAAAGAGGGAUAAGAACGCCCUCUUUAAACCGGCUCUGAGGCACGUACAUACCGCCCGUCACCCUCCUCACAACCCACAAAACUUGUAAAUAACAAAUCAAACAGGUGAAAGACGAGGUAAGUCGUAACAAGGUAAGUGUACCGGAAGGUGCACUUAGCAU
rnacentral:ncRNA from 1 species